UGUCGUCUUUUUAUUUAUUUUGUUUUUUUCUCUCUCUCUCUUUCUCUCACACACGCGCGUGAUAGACAAA
rnacentral:ribozyme from 1 species